GCCGAAGAGUCAAUUAUUUAAUCAUCGAGGGCCAUACAUAUCGGAAGGUUAGUGUCCUGAAACAUAAGAACAUAUCUUACGAAUGUACCACAAAUCGUGUAAACCCAGAGUCACCACGGAUUAUAUUGUAAACAUGUGGCAGAUGUCCGAAAGACAGAGGUUAAAGAACUACGGGUACUGUCAAGAAAAAGUCUGGAGGUGUAUCUUGUGGGUCUUUUUCCAUCUCCCAGUAGUGAGUAGGGGACAACAGUUAUAUACAUGUUAUGAUUGACAAUUCAUUACAUUUGUACAAAUGGCUAAUGGAAGAGGUCUUAAAUGAUAAAUGAAAAAUAACAUGACUUGGAUGGAGAGUUCUCUCAUUUGCACUCAUACCACAUCUUCUUAUAUCUAUUCACCUGUAAUUUACCUGUAAAAAAAAUCGGCGCAAAUGAAAAAAAAAAUCGGCGCAAAUGAAAGAAAAAAUCGGCGCAAAUGAAAUGCAGAUCGGCGCAAAUGCAAAACGCCGA
rnacentral:lncRNA from 1 species